UGAGGAGCUGCCCCAAGUACUGGGCAUAAAGCCUCUAUGCCCUGGCAGCACAAAGCCACAGUCCUUCCCUCAAAACCCUCGGAGCCAGAUAUGCUUCAGAACACAGACAUCUUCAAAAUUUAGAAAGGAAAUAGUGCAAAUACUGUAUUGUCAGUAUGUCAACCCCUCCUCCCCUUCCAGAAAAGUCUGGGGCAAUACCAUGCAACUAAACACACAUUCUGCAGUGCAAUUCAUGAAUAUUCACAUGAAGGAAGAUCAAAGAGACUUUAAGUAGCCUUGUGUCAGUUCGUGGACGUUUAGCUCCUUGAUCAGUGCAAAAGCUGGUUUUGAAAGAUUUACGAUGAUAGGUUGCAGAUGAAGUAGUCUGGACUCCCAUAUACUCCCAUUUUUAAUUAGUAAAUUAAUAUUCUGAGUUUAUAAAUUUCUUAUAGCUGUGAUUAAUAUGGACACAUUUUUCAGAGUCAGAUUCUCUUCUAUGCCUACCAUUAAGUAAAUUAAUAAAAAUGAAAUAGCUAGAAUCAGCAAAGCCAAGCAAAAUGCUGCCAGGGUGCCCCUCUCCAAUGAGUGGCCAUCAGGAAAGAAGUGAAUGACAACAGCCUGCCAGAGCUCUCUCAGCAGCUUACCACCAGGCCACACUCACUUUUGGAUGAUAUUCCCUCAUCUAAAACUUUCUCUUUGACCUCUUUCGGAAAAACCUCCUAAGACACCUCAAUGGUCAAGUAAACAUUCAUCUAAAGGAACCAUUUUUUCAAUUCAAUACAUUUAAUAAGCAUAUAUAUCAAGACUGUGUUAUUUUAACCUACACAAUGUUGAUGUCCAAGUUUUGACCAAGUAUGCUAACAAAGAGUCAGUCUCAAUUUUUCUGAAACUUGCAAAUCUAAAACUGGGAGAAGUUUCUGCCCUUUUGUUUGGGGAAGCUAUGGGGACCCUCUAUGGAGGACCCUUUGGUUAAGAAAGUAAAGCCAGCUCAGAAAGGGGAAGUUCAGAAAUACAGGGAUCCCUGUUGCUCUGCUUUCCUCUGUGCAGAAUUGCAUGUCUGCAGAUUUUUAUCAGGCUGGCUAUGGAGAAAAGUUGUUUCCCUCUGUUGAGGCCAUAGGAAAAAACACAACCCAGAAGAGGUGAGCAUGGUCAAGGCAGUCCUGUUGGAAGGGUGGUCUGGCCACAGCGGAGGACAGGACUGGCCAAGAGAAGCCCCCAAGGAGGGGUAUGGUCCAAGAAGUCAGGCAGCAAUGGUGUCCAUUUAAGGUUGUGUUUUGGAGGUUGUUUUUGUUUUUAAUUCGGUCUUUUCAGCUUAGUGCUUCUUCUUUUUUUUUUUUUUAAGUUUUGCUAAACGUUUUGGAGGAGAGCAGUGAAUCUGCAAAGAGAAUAAACCCAACCAGAAAAGAAAGUGCGGAGACUGAUCAUGAGGUGAGAGAGGGUCGGCUCACUGCGGUACAGGCUGUCCUGUUUAUUGACUGGAGCAGGCAGCCAGUGGUUUGCAAGGAUACUAAAGAGAAGGAUGGAAUCCUAUUUUUAAAAAAUCAGUGGAUAAUGACUUGUCACUUACAAUAAUGCAGGUGAUAGCACAUUAACUGAAAGAGUAGUGAGGCUCAGAGAACAAGGGGUUUAACUUCUGCCUGGGAGACACAGACAAGGGCAGCGUGACACCCACAGGGAGGGUCAGACUUCAUGACCCUCCAGGAUUGAUUUCAAAUCUUGCCUUCACCACCUAGGGGAUCUGUAAACCCAGGACAGUCCUUGAAAGCUCUCUGAGCCUGUUUCCCAUCUAAGAUACAAAUUUACUUACUUCUCCUUCCUGGGGCUUCAUAGGGCUAAGAUUGCUUAUAUAAGGUUUUUAUGAAGUACCCAAUAAAUUAUUACUACUUAACAUAAUACAAUAUAUUAAAAGUACAUGCUAAUAUAAUAUAUAAUACGCUAACAAUUCGUUAUUGGUAAAUCAUUACUAUUAUCAUUUACACACUAAGUAUAGUUUAUAGGCAAACUAUAAAUUUCAAAUCUUUCCUUAGUAAGGGAAGAUUUGAAAUUGCUAUUUCCUUAGAAUUCAUUCCAUAUAAAUCUAUUCUUGAAUGAUAUCAUUGAUGCUUUAGCAAAAUAUUUAAUUUUCCUCAAACAAUGUAUUAUUGCCGUGAAUGUUUAUAAACUCUUUGUAAGUAGCAUUUUACUGUAUCUAUUCUUCUGCCCCUUGCAGGUUUAUGAGUAUGGAGUUGGUAUUUAAAAAUAAUUCUGGGUUGUCCUCAUGAAGCCUUAGGAAAAAGACCAUUUCAGAAACCCAUCAGAGUACCAAAAAUGUGCAAAUCUGAAGAGCCAAGUGUUGGUAGUGUGGACCUGUGUGCAGACUCCCUAAGUAUAGGCUUUGGCAGUGAAAUAAGGAACAAUCACAUUGGAAAGCUAUUCAGCCUUCCCCCCACUCAAAAUACAUAUCUCUGGGAUCACUCAUUCAGGCAGCAAGGAGACAUGUAUGAGGAUCCUUUCUCAAAUAGAAAAACAGCAAUGACAACAACAACAACAACCUGAAAAUAACCAAUUAUCCAUUGACAGAAGAAUGAGUAAACUGAGUUGUAGAUAAACAACAGAAUAUUAUUUAGAAACCAAAAUGAAUAAACCACAGGCAAAGUAAGUGGCAAAAGAAUGUGUACAGUAAAAUGCUACUUAUAAAGAGUUUAUAAACAUUCAAGGCAAUAAUACAUUGUUUAAGGAAAAGUAAAUAUUUUGCUAAAGCAUGAAGACAUAUGGGAUCAUUGUAAACUACCCAAGUCAGGAUAGUGGUCACUACUGGAUUGGUGAGAGCUACACAGGGGGGUUCAAGUGUAUCUAAUAAUAGCCUCUUUCUGUGAAAGGAAAAACACCCUGUAAACCAGCUAUAAUGGAAAAAAUUAAAAUCAUUAUAAAUAAAUAAAUAAAUAAAAGAAAAACAAACUGAGACAAAUGCAGCAAAGAGAAAUUAAGAUUUGACAAGGCAGACAAAAAAAGUUCUCAUUGUGGUUCAGCGAAAACAAAUCCGACUAGGAACCAUGAGGUUGCAGGUUCUAUCCCUGGCCUUGCUCAGUGGGUUAAGGAUCCAGCAUUGCCACAAGCUGUGGUGUAGGUCGCAGAUGCGGCUCAGAUCUGGCAUUGCUGUGGCAGUGGUGUAGGCCAGCAGCUACAGUUCCAAUUAGACCCCUAGCCCCCUAGCCUGGGAACAUCUAUAUGCUGCAGGUGUGGCCCUAAAAAGAAAAAAAAAAAAAAAAAAA
rnacentral:lncRNA from 1 species